rnacentral:rRNA from 1 species
AUUGAACGCUGGCGGCAGGCCUAACACAUGCAAGUCGAGCGAGCGGCGGACGGGUGAGUAAUGUCUGGGAAACUGCCUGAUGGAGGGGGAUAACUACUGGAAACGGUAGCUAAUACCGCAUACCAUCAGAUGUGCCCAGAUGGGAUUAGCUAGUAGGUGGGGUAACGGCUCACCUAGGCGACGAUCCCUAGCUGGUCUGAGAGGAUGACCAGCCACACUGGAACUGAGACACGGUCCAGACUCCUACGAGAGGCGGCAGGGGGGAAUAUUGAAGAAUGGGCGAAGGCCUGAUGCAGCCAUGCCGCGUGGGUGAAGAAGGCCUUCGGGUUGUAAAGCACUUUCAGCGGGGAGGCGUUACCCGCAGAAGAAGCACCGGCUAACUCCGUGCCAGCAGCCGCGGUAAUUC